rfam:Candidatus Vogelbacteria bacterium GWA1_51_14 gwa1_scaffold_3351, whole genome shotgun sequence.
UAAUAUGAGAGUUUGAUCUUAGCUCAGGAUGAACGCUGGCGGCGUGGAUAAGGCAUGCAAGUCGAAUGAUGCAUCUCACUGACGCUCGAUGCUGAUGCGAUACUAAUCUACGAAUACAUCCGAAUUUUACGAAUAAAUCCUAAUUCGUAUCAUUCGUUUUCUAUUCGUUAUAUUCGCAUCGUCGGCACCGAAUGUGAGUGAGGUGCGUCAUGGCGAACGAGGUAGUAACAUGUAGGUACGCACCCGGAAGUCGGGGAUAACCCGCCGAAAGGCGGAGUAAUACUCGAUGGUCUCGCGAGAGUAAAGAUUUAUCGCUUCCGGAGCGGCCUGCAGCCUAUCAGCUAGUUGGUAAGGUAAUGGCUUACCAAGGCAAUGACGGGUAGGGGGGGUGAGAGCCUGGCCCCCACCGAUGGGACUGAGACACGGCCCAUACACCUACGGGUGGCUGCAGUCGAGAAUCUUCCACAAUGGACGAAAGUCUGAUGGAGCGACGCCGCGUGGUGGAUGAAGUCCUUCGGGACGUAAACACCUUUUAUGAGGGAAGAAGUUUAUUGACGGUACCUCAGGAAUAAGGGGUUGCUAAACUCGUGCCAGCAGCAGCGGUAAUACGAGUGCCCCAAGCGUUAUCCGGAAUCAUUGGGCGUAAAGGGUGCGUAGGCGGUUAGGUUAGUCUCCUGUGAAAUCUCCCGGCUUAACCGGGAAUGGGCGGGGGAAACGGCCUAACUAAGAGCAGGUGAGAGGUCAGUAGAACUCAUGGUGUAGGGGUGAAAUCCGUUGAUAUCAUGGGGAAUACCAAAAGCGAAGGCAGCUGACUGGCGCCUGGCUGACGCUGAGGCACGAAAGCGUGGGUAGCGAACGGGAUUAGAUACCCCGGUAGUCCACGCCCUAAACGAUGUUCUCUAGUUUUUCGGAGUAUCGACCCUCUGAGAGACGUAGCUAACGCGUUAAGAGAACCGCCUGGGAAGUACGGCCGCAAGGCUAAAACUCAAAAGAAUAGACGGGGACUUGCACAAGCGGUGGAUCAUGUGGUUUAAUUCGACACUAAACGAAAAACCUCACCAGGGCUUGAAACUCCAACGAAAACUCGAGGAAACUUGAGUUGUCUUCACAAGAGACGGUGGAGCAGGUGAUGCAUGGCUGUCGUCAGUUCGUGGCUUGAGUUGUUCCCUUAAGUGGGGAAACGAACGCAACCUCUGUCGCGUGUUACAAGUGUCACGCGAGACUGUCCCGCUUGUCGGGAAGGAAGCGGAGAUGACGCCAAGUCAGCAUGUCCCUUUGACGCCCUGGGCUACACACAUGAUACAAUGGCCGUUACAACGGGUUGCGACGAGGAAACUCUGAGCUAAUCCUUUAAAAACGGCCCCAGUUCGGAUUGAGGUCUGCAACUCGACCUCAUGAAGUUGGAAUCGCUAGUAAUCGCGGGUCAGCUAUACCGCGGUGAAUACGUUCUCAAGUCUUGUACUCACCGCCCGUCAAGCCAAGGGAGCCGGGAGUGCCCAAAGUCUCACUUCGGUGGGCCUAAGGUAAGUUCGGUAACAAGGGUUAAGUCGUAACAAGGCACGGGUAGCGGAAGCUGUUCGUGGAAUUAUUUUAGU